rnacentral:rRNA from 1 species
GGUUUAGGGCACUGGAAGGUCCCUAAACCGAAAGGGGCUCUGCCCGCCCGAGGAUGGGCCGGCGGCCGAUUAGGUAGUUGGUGGGGUAACGGCCCACCAAGCCCAUAAUCGGUACGGGCAGUGAGAGCUGGAGCCCGGAGAUGGACACUGAGACACGGGUCCAGGCCCUACGGGGCGCAGCAGGCGCGAAACCUCCGCAAUGCUCGAAAGAGCGACGGGGGGACCCCAAGUGCCGUGGUACAACCACGGCUUUUCCGGAGUGUAAGAAGCUCUGGGAAUAAGGGCUGGGCAAGGCCGGUGGCAGCCGCCGCGGUAAUACCGGCGGCCCGAGUGGUGGCCACUAUUAUUGGGCCUAAAGCGUCCGUAGCCGGGCUUGUAAGUCCCUGGCGAAAUCCCACGGCUCAACCGUGGGGCUUGCUGGGGAUACUGCAAGCCUUGGGACCGGGAGAGGCCGGGGGUACUCCUGGGGUAGGGGUGAAAUCCUAUAAUCCCAGGAGGACCGCCAGUGGCGAAGGCGCCCGGCUGGAACGGGUCCGACGGUGAGGGACGAAGGCCAGGGGAGCAAACCGGAUUAGAUACCCGGGUAGUCCUGGCUGUAAAGGAUGCGGGCUAGGUGUUGCUUGGACCUCGAGUCCAAGCAGUG